rnacentral:rRNA from 1 species
CGCGGCCUAUCAGCUUGUUGGUGGGGUAGUGGCUUACCAAGGCUUUGACGGGUAGCCGGCCUGAGAGGGUGACCGGCCACAUUGGGACUGAGAUACGGCCCAGACUCCUACGGGAGGCAGCAGUGGGGAAUAUUGCACAAUGGGCGGAAGCCUGAUGCAGCAACGCCGCGUGCGGGAUGACGGCCUUCGGGUUGUAAACCGCUUUCGCCUGUGACGAAGCGUGAGUGACGGUAGUGGGUAAAGAAGCACCGGCUAACUACGUGCCAGCAGCCGCGGUGAUACGUAGGGUGCGAGCGUUGUCCGGAUUUAUUGGGCGUAAAGGGCUCGUAGGUGGUUGAUCGCGUCGGAAGUGUAAUCUUGGGGCUUAACCCUGAGCGUGCUUUCGAUACGGGUUGACUUGAGGAAGGUAGGGGAGAAUGGAAUUCCUGGUGGAGCGGUGGAAUGCGCAGAUAUCAGGAGGAACACCAGUGGCGAAGGCGGUUCUCUGGGCCUUUCCUGACGCUGAGGAGCGAAAGCGUGGGGAGCGAACAGGCUUAGAUACCCUGGUAGUCCACGCUGUAAACGGUGGGUACUAGGUGUGGGGUCCAUUCCACGGGUUCCGUGCCGUAGCUAACGCUUUAAGUACCCCGCCUGGGGAGUACGG